rnacentral:lncRNA from 1 species
CGCCGCGGCCUUCGCCCCGUGAGGAGGGGGAGCCUCCCCUCAGCCUCCGCCGCGCCGAAACCAGGGGGAGGGUCCUGUUGCUUUUUAUUUAAAGCCGCAAUUAAAAUGAAUCUGGGAGGGCAAUAAUUAGCAAGGAAAUGGAGGGAUGGGUGUAAAAGUAUACGCGUACUGCGGUGUCAUUACUUGUCGAUGGCGAUUAAGGGAGUCCUGCUGUCUGGAAAUUGGCUUUGCCUCCCGGGAAACCUGAGGGAAGCGCUGCCCUAGUUAAUGCUGCGGUAGCUCUUGGGAGAGGUUUGGAGUGAAAUAGAUACAGGUUUUCUUUUGAAAUAUGCUCUUGAAUAAAUUAGUUUGUGUCCAGAAAUGGCAUCUGUUUUCCCUGGCUCAGAUAUUUUUCUAGAAAAAGUGUUUAGGUAUGCGGCUCACAUGGAAAGUGGGACCAAUAUCUAAGCAGCUUUGAAAAUCGGUGCUGUAUUGUUUUGAGUUAGAAAUGCUGGUUUAAUUCCAAAGUUUGAAUACAGCAAUGCUGUGGGGUCAGUGGAGAAGGAAAGGAUGGGCCCUUAGAUGUAGAUGUUAUGAAGUGGAAAACUUAAAGUGUUUGGAAGGGUUACGUGGCCGGGUGUUCAGUGGCACCAUCUAACAACAAAACUUCUCUUUUAUUUUCAAGGAAGUAGCUGAAAACACUGGCUGCAUCUCUGUGUCUCUUAGAGGUCACUUGCUGAUUUAUCUCCAAUUCACAGCUCAUUAGAAGGUGUGUAACUCUUCAGAGAUGUUGUUAUUUAACAGCUGAAAGUUAUUAUGUAAAAUGGGUAAAUUGGAGUCUUUAAAGGAGCUGCCAACUUGCAUUUGCCUGAGUUUCUUCAGCAGUGGAGAGGAGAGGAAGAAUUCCAGACACGUCAUCCUGAUUUCACAAGUCUGCAGAGAUCUCCAGAGUGGACUUACCCAUCUGUGUGAGGAGGAAGGCUAUACAUGCAAAUUCAGAUUCCUGAUGCAUUCCCACUAACUCUGCCCUUCUGUUCUGGCAGAGUGAGGAAAAACUGUAGGCUGCCAAAAGGUGAAGACAACCACUUUAUCUGCAAGAGAAUAUUCAUUUAUGGGGCUUCCCUGGUGACAUAGGUUUGAAAUGGGAAAAUGGGCUUAAAGCCUUCUUUAAGAGAGAUUUACUCACAGUUUUCUCCAGUGGUAAGUAUACUUGCUGUAUUCUGAUUUAUAAAUGUAUUGACUCUCCCUGUGCUUUUGCUUUAUAAGGUUGGAUAAUUUGUAUUAUCUCUGGAUAAUUUGUACUGACAAGAGUUCUUGUGCUCAUUUUUCCUCCCUUACUGCAGAAUUAGGUGUCUGAAUCCUGCCUGGUGUUCCCUUCCCUGCAUGGAAAGAGGCACAGGAGGCAACACCUUUUG